rnacentral:rRNA from 1 species
GACGAACGCUGGCGGCGUGCUUAACACAUGCAAGUCGAACGGUGAAGCGCCUUCCUUUUUGGUGGGUGUGGAUGAGUGGCGAACGGGUGAGUAACACGUGAGUAACCUGCCCCCUUCUUCUGGAUAACCGCAUGAAAGUGUGGCUAAUACGGGAUAUUCUGGGUCUGUCGCAUGAUGGGUCUGGGAAAGAUUUUGUUUCGGUGGGGGAUGGGCUCGCGGCCUAUCAGCUUGUUGGUGGGGUGAUGGCCUACCAAGGCGGUGACGGGUAGCCGGCCUGAGAGGAUGGACGGCCACACUAGGGCUAAGACGCGGCGCAGACUCCUACGGGAAGCAGCAGGGAGGAAUAUUGCACGGUGGGCGGAAGGCUGAUGCAGCGACGCGUGGUUGAAGAUGGAGUCCUGCGGGUUGUGAACCUCUUUCGCGAGUGAAGCAGGGCUGCCUCGUUUGUGGGUGGGUUGACGGUAGCUGGAUAAGAAGCGCCGGCUAACUACGUG